rnacentral:rRNA from 1 species
AAAGCCUCGCAAGAGGUAAGUAGAGUGGCAAACGGGUGNGUAACACGUGGGUGACCUGCCUUCGAGCGGGGGAUAACGUCCCGAAAGGGACGCUAAUACCGCAUGACAUCCUGUCUUUUAAGAGAUGGCGAUCAAAGCUGGGGAUCGCAAGACCUAGCACUCGAAGAGGGGCCCGCGUCCGAUUAGCUAGUUGGUGAGGUAACGGCUCACCAAGGCAACGAUCGGUAGCCGGCCUGAGAGGGCGGACGGCCACACUGGGACUGAGACACGGCCCAGACUCCUACGGGAGGCAGCAGUGGGGAAUUGUUCGCAAUGGGCGCAAGCCUGACGACGCAACGCCGCGUGGAGGAUGAAGGCCUUCGGGUCGUAAACUCCUUUCGAUCGAGACGAAAUCCCCUGGGGUGAACAAUCCCAGGGGUUGACGGUACCGAGAGAAGAAGCCCCGGCUAACUCCGUGCCAGCAGCCGCGGUAAUACGGGGGGGGCAAGCGUUGUUCGGAAUUACUGGGCGUAAAGGGCUCGUAGGCGGCCAACUAAGUCAGACGUGAAAUCCCUCGGCUUAACCGGGGAACUGCGUCUGAUACUGGAUGGCUAGAGUUUGGGAGAGGGAUGCGGAAUUCCAGGUGUAGCGGUGAAAUGCGUAGAUAUCUGGAGGAACACCGGUGGCGAAGGCGGCAUCCUGGACCAACACUGACGCUNAGGAGCGAAAGCCAGGGGAGCAAACGGGAUUAGAUACCCCGGUAGUCCUGGCCCUAAACGAUGAAUGCUUGGUGUGGCGGGUAUCGAUCCCUGUCGUGCCGAAGCUAACGCA